rnacentral:rRNA from 1 species
UACGUAGGUGGCAAGCGUUGUCCGGAAUUAUUGGGCGUAAAGCGCGCGCAGGUGGUUCCUUAAGUCUGAUGUGAAAGCCCACGGCUCAACCGUGGAGGGUCAUUGGAAACUGGGGAACUUGAGUGCAGAAGAGGAAAGUGGAAUUCCAAGUGUAGCGGUGAAAUGCGUAGAGAUUUGGAGGAACACCAGUGGCGAAGGCGACUUUCUGGUCUGUAACUGACACUGAGGCGCGAGAGCGUGGGGAGCAAACAGG